CCCCUGGUAGCUCAGUCAGGUAAGAGCGCUUGUCUGAAAAACAAGAGGUCAUCCGUUCAAAUCGGAUCUGGGGGG
rnacentral:tRNA from 4 species